AUGGACGAAAGUCUGAUGGAGCAACGCCGCGUGAGUGAAGAAGGGUUUCGGCUCGUAAAACUCUGUUGUUAAAGAAGAACAUAUCUGAGAGUAGCUGUUCAGGUAUUGACGGUAUUUAACCAGAAAGCCACGGCUAACUACGUGCCAGCAGCCGCGGUAACACGUAGGUGGCAAGCGUUGUCCGGAUUUAUUGGGCGUAAAGCGAGCGCAGGCGGUUUUUUAAGUCUGAUGUGAGAGCCUUCGGCUCAACCGAAGAAGUGCAUCGGAAACUGGGAAACUUGAGUGCAGAAGAGGACAGUGGAACUCCAUGUGUAGCGGUGAAAUGCGUAGAUAUAUGGAAGAACACCAGUGGCGAAGGCGGCUGUCUGGUCUGUAACUGACGCUGAGGCUCGAAAGUAUGGGUAGCAAACAGGAUUAGAUACCCUGAUAGUCCAUACCGUAAACGAUGAAUGCUAAGUGUUGGAGGGUUUCCGCCCUUCAGUGCUGCAGCUAACGCAUUAAGCAUUCCGCCUGGGGAGUACGGCCGCAAGGCUGAAACUCAAAGGAAUUGACGGGGGCCCGCACAAGCGGUGGAGCAUGUGGUUUAAUUCGAAGCUACGC
rnacentral:rRNA from 2 species